UGUGGGAGCGGGCUUGCUCGCGCAGGCGUCAGCACAUCCAGCAUCAUUGCAAGCUGGACCAACGCUUCCGCGAGCAAGCCCACUCCCACA
rnacentral:misc_RNA from 1 species